CCAUCCCUGUUAUCCCUGGUCCAGAAGCAGCUGCUGCUCUUCCUCGGUAUAGCCCUUUCUCUCUCUCCCUUCCUUCAUUUCUUUCAUUUCCCCAAAGCUCGCCUUACCUCCUUUACCAAGGAAAUCCUGAAUCCUGCACAGAAACUGGACCACAACACUGCAACUACACACUGCAGGCCACAACAAAACCUUCCAAAACCCACUGACGGAACAUAUCCAUCAUGCCAGAAGACGCCUACCUGUCUUCCAUGAAGCCGCCCUUCCCAACACUCACUCCCCAUCCCAGGUUUGACGCGAGCCCGACAGCUUUCAGCCUCCUGACCACCACAGCACUUCUGCCACGUGAGCGCUUUCACAUAGAAGGAUCCACCCUCCUGAUUGUGGUCAUUUUUUGCGUGGUCUUUGUCCUGCUCCUUUCAGCCUUUUUCUACGCCUUCUGCUUCCAUUGCUCCAUCAGUACGUCGCUUAAAGACUCGCAUGCAGAUAACGGAUGCAGCCUAGAUCAUGAGGACGCCACAUAUAAGUGCAGCUCAUCUGAUAACCAGUCAGUAGGGAAUGUUGUCUGACUGUGAUGCCAGACCAAGAUAAUUGUCAUGUGGUUGUGAUUAAGCUUUCUUGGGAAUUUCCUGCAGUAGCAGUGCAAUGAAAGCAUAAUUCCAAAACAGUAUUGUUAGUAGGAUUCCUCCUAAGCUCACAUGAGUUUAGGUAAGACGAAUCCAAAUGCACUUAAAUGUCAUAGAUCCAUAGCUAUUGUGUCCAAUAAAAAUCUGUUGAAUAUAUGUAUAAUAUAUGUGCACAUGAGUCUGAAUGCCACUGAAUCACAAGAAAAACAAUAAUAAAUGCAUUGGCACCCA